UCCUACGGGAGGCAGCAGUGGGGAAUAUUGGACAAUGGGCGCAAGCCUGAUCCAGCCAUGCCGCGUGAGUGAUGAAGGCCUUAGGGUUGUAAAGCUCUUUUGUCAGGGAAGAUGAUGACGGUACCUGAAGAAUAAGCACCGGCUAACUUCGUGCCAGCAGCCGCGGUAAUACGAAGGGUGCUAGCGUUGUUCGGAAUCACUGGGCGUAAAGCGCGCGUAGGCGGCGAUUCAAGUCAGGGGUGAAAUCCCAGAGCUUAACUCUGGAACUGCCUUUGAAACUGUAUCGCUGGAGUGUCGGAGGGGAUGGCGGAAUUGCUAAUGUAGAGGUGAAAUUCGUAGAUAUUAGCAGGAACACCGGUGGCGAAGGCGGCCAUCUGGACGACAACUGACGCUGAGGCGCGAAAGCGUGGGGAUCAAACAGGAUUAGAUACCCCGGUAGUC
rnacentral:rRNA from 1 species